rnacentral:lncRNA from 1 species
AAAAAACAAUUCCCAUGAUUUACUGUUAUAAAUUUUUUUAAAUUGUUCUCACAAACAAGUAUUCAUGUUUCAAAAUUGUCACGAUUUAGAAUAAGCGGAUAUAUGGUAUCAAACACAACUCUUGCAAAAAUAUGCCGAACUUCCGGCAGGUUUCCCACAGCCAAUGACUCAUAAUCAAUCUUGCUGCCUUGCUUUGGCACAAAUCCCCUCUCUGCACCAGACGUUACGCAACUAAAAACCCUGCUGACCCUCAGAGAUAACCCCCAUGGGAUAAAUACCUGGAAGUUGAGAUCAAACCCAAUAACCCUUUAGAGUUUCUCAAUAAAUGAGAUGAAUGCAGACAACACACACACAAACAGCAAACAAAAACAAUAAAAUCUUGUCAUGAGGACAAGAAAUGUUUAAAUGAAGGAAGGUGCUCACCAGAUCAGAAUAUGGUGCUUGUGGGUACCCUGCCAUCGCCACAGAGACUAUUUGCUCAUCAGUCAUAUGGUUUAGCGCACGCUUAAGAGAUGUUGCAAGAUUCACAACCUCAUCUUUCAAUGCUCGAGGGUUCAAAUCCUGAGUUUCUGAUAAUUCAUUAAAGCAAACAUCGUGUAGUUUAGUGAUUCUCCUAGCAAUGUUUACUGCUUCUAGCAUAUCUCCACCAUUGUGAAUUGCAAGGCUAAAUGCAGCAACCACCAAUGGAUCCCUAGGUUGUUCGGACAGUGCUUUGUGGAAUGCUAAGAUCGCAACCCUGGAAGUGUAAACCUGUGAUGAGUCUCAGUUGGUCCAACUCGUAAUGAGCUUGUAAGUACACAUCAUAGAAUCUCCAAUACAUAAAAGAAUCAUGCAACUUAAUUUGCUUAGAUUACUCAGACCAAUAAAAAGAAAAAGGAGCAAACAAACUGCGAAGAAAUAUGAUGCAAGGGCAAGAGUACUCCAGUACAACCUGGAGGAAUUCAAAACAAGGAACAACUUGUAAGUAUGCAGAAUAAGGCUGCAUACAUCUAACCCUCCCCAAACCUCCCAAUGGCAGGAGUCUCAUACACCAAGCCAAAGAAAUACUGUUCUAUAACAUGAGAAUCCAAGAAAAACUGAUACAAUGCAAGUAUGACCAAUUAAACCAUUUCAAUCUUCUAUCUUUUCAGUCGCCUGUUAUUAAUGGCAUAAAGAAAACACAUGAGCAUUCUGUUAUCAUAAACAUCUUACCAUAAGCUACUGUGGCAUGGCUUGUCAGGUGAAAGAAGUUUAUCCAAGUUAGAAAGAAGGGACUGCAUGUGGAAAGCCAGAGAAUUAAAUGCACUUUUAGGUCAAACCCUCUUCACGAUAUAAUCAAGCACUGAAUAAGCAUAUAACAAGUGUGUAAUGAUAAUUACCAAAAGCAUAUUAGUCCUUUUGUCACGUCUUCGAAAACCAUGGCUAACAAAAUAUGCUGCCUGCAAUAUGAAACUGUAUUGAAACUUAUUGUAUUGUGCGGACAAGUAGCAAAUUUAUUCAAUAUUAAAUCCAUACCUGAAUAGGUAGAAGUAGUUCUAGAAGUCCAAAUUUCCAUAAUAACCUCAAAGAAGCUUCAGCAGAACCAUAAGCUAGCAUGUAGUUCAUUUCCAUGAGGAGCCUUCCCUAAAGUAUGAAGUAAUGACUAAGUAAUUCAGGAACUCAAGAAUACUAAGUGCAAGGAAAAUGAUAAGGUCCAAGAUCUCUUAAAUUACCUUAUCAAGCCUAAGAAUUGAGUAAGAUAAAUUUUUAACAGAAUGAGCUGUUUCCUUGGAAAUACGAAAGCCUAAACGGGCAGCAAUUCUUAUUGCACGUAGGAUGCGAGCUGCACAUACGCAGAAUCUGAUUUAGUUUCUCCACAAACAUGAGAAAGAUUUUGUCAAGUGUGCAUGGGUUGGGUGUGUUCUUAGAACACACCCCCCACGGGAGAUAACAACUACUUAGCAACGCUUAUGUCAAGUUAAUUAUAAUUAAGCAGCUGCUUUCUUCUCAACGAGCUUCUCUAUCAAAUCAGCUGCUUCUUGGACCGUGCUUAUGUUCUGAGAGCUCUCCUCUUCAACGCUUAUGUCAAAUUCUUCCUCCAAACCUAUCACUAUCUCCACCUGCAACAGAUCAUCCAGUCUUAUUUUUAUCCACCAAUAAAUUAUAUAUAUUUAAUUUAAAAACCAUAUGCAUAAAUAGAAUUUGAUAAUCAAUUGGAGUAGAAAAUAAUGGCAGCAGGGCAUACUGUGUCAAGAGAGUCGGCACCAAGGGAUGCAAACUUGGAGUCAGGGGUGACCUCAUACUCUGGAGGCAAAGCCAGUUGCUUCCUCACAAUCUCCACAACCUUUUGCACUGUCUCAGGUUUGGCCUGUCCACUUUUCAAUUUUCAUUAUGUGGUUUUCAAUAUAUAACUUGUUAAGCGUGAAAUAUAUCGCCGUGUAUCAGAUGCACACAAUAAUUUUUCUCGAGUUGAAGAACUUACCGCGCAACAGAUUUGGAGACGAGAGGUCCUCAGAGAAGAGAAACCAGUCUUAGCCCAUUCAUUAGAAACCAAUUGUAAACUUAAACUUGUUCUUGUUACCUACAUUAUUAGUUCAUAAGCAUCAAAAGCAGAUAUUGGCUCAUAUUUAUACUUUCAGUUUAAUCACAUUUACUUAUUGAUCUGAAAAACCUUCAAUUGGGCAAUAAUUCAAUAAUAAAAAAUUUUGAAAAAAAAACAAAUGAUGGUAACAUUCAAUCCAUAGAUAAGGCAAACCCAAAAUUUAGAAGACAACCCAAAUGAAUAAAAAAAUGGAAGAAAAAGACAGAGACAUUAGGUUAAAUGCUAAUACCAGGCCAGAAGUCUUGGUUGGCUGGUUUUGAAAGGGCUGGAACCUGCAAAGAGAAGUAGCUGAAACAGAAGCCAUUGAAGCUGCUCAAGAAACCAAACCGCAAAAACUUUGUUACUCAAAACAAACAGAGAGACAUGGUGAGGGUGAUGUAAAGUUGUGCCCUAUUGGAACAGAGCUGCCGUAUCUUCUACUUACGUGGCAGACAUUGGAAAUUAUGGGUGGGCCCUUGGAAUUCAGGUACAAGUUGCCAGAUGGGACAAAUUAACAACUAGACCAUCCAUCCAUGUAGUUUGUCUGUUUUCGCAAUUAGUUUUAAUUUUGUUAAUUUUGUCAUUGUAAUUUUAAAUCUCCUGCAAAUUCAAAGACACGUUUAAAUUAUGUCAAAUUUUUUUUAAUUUCGUUCAAAAUACCCUUUAAUAUCAUCGACACAUACUUAUUAUGUCACAUAAUAAAACAGAAAUUUAAACAUACUUUUGAACUAUAGGAGUUAAAUUGUCAGAAUAAAAACCGCAUAAACAAAAGUGAAAAAUCAGACAAACCACAAGAGCCGAAGAUGAUUUUUUGCCUUCAUAAUUAUUAGAGUACUGGGAGGAAGAAACGAAACUGGUUACGUCCCUGCUUACCGACAAGGCUUUUGAUUCAAAAGUUUUGAAUGAUUGGUCAACGCCGUGAAUUAACUAUCUGAAAUAAAGCUUCAAUAUAAAUUGCGCGCCACGCGGAUAUUUUUCGAGGUGUGCUUCCACCAAAAGGCAGAGCCUUCCAAAAUUGCAGAGAGAGACUUCAAUCAAUCAAUAAUGGCAGAUCCACUCAACAACACAAACUCUCGCCACUCUCUCCUCCCAAGCUUCCUCUACUCUUCAUCUUCUUCAAUGGUGGCAUCAGGUUAUGCAUCAUCAGCACCGUCAUCAAGGGUGGUGAUUGCAGCGCCUAGAGAGAAGGUGGAGAUGUACUCUGCUGAGUUCUAUGCGGCGUGUGGAGUUGCAGGUAUGCUGGCCACUGGCCUAACCCAUUUGGCCGUCACUCCUAUCGAUGUCGUCAAGUGUAAUAUGCAGGUCAAGCUUUCUUUCUUUUCCUUUUGUUUUUGUUUUUUUUCAAAAUAUGCAGGUCAAGCUGUCCUAUAAGUUGGGUAAAAAAAAAGUAGUUUAAUAUUUUUUAAAUACAUUUUUUUUUCAUACAAGCGAUAGUAUAAACUACUCUAAAUUGAUCUAAUCUACGAAAAAAGGGGAUUCAAACUUGUGUGUAAUGGGCGAACUCAACGCCUUGGCCAACUUAUCUAACCUUAGUGUUACAUUUUGUGAUCACAUUAGUCGAUCACACAAAUGAUUUGAGUAGUUAAUAUGUAUCUAUUACAUCAAUUAGCAUGACCAACUAUUACCAAGUUAUGUCUGUAGAAAUGUCGUAGCAUUACUUAUGUUGUUUCUGAACUCAUUCAAUCUAUCAUGCCCCAAUUUUGUUCUUCAUUUUAUUUUCUAUAGAAAGUCUUAACAAAAAUUAUGUUGCUGAUAUUAACAAUUCAGAUUGACCCAAUUAAGUACAAGAGCGUCACAUCCGGAUUUGGAGUUCUGUUGAAGGAGCAGGGCAUCAGAGGUUUGUUCAAGGGCUGGGCGCCCACCUUGAUCGGCUACAGCGCCCAGGGUGCUGGAAAGUUUGGCCUCUAUGAGUUUUUCAAGAAGUACUACACAGACAUUGCAGGGCCAGAGUAUGCAGCCAAGUACAAGACCUUGAUCUACCUUGCAGGCUCUGCAUCAGCUGAAGUCAUUGCUGAUGUUGCCCUCUGUCCCAUGGAAGCUGUCAAAGUUCGUGUCCAAACUCAGCCCGGCUUUGCCAGAGGCUUGGCUGAUGGGCUUCCAAAGAUCAUCAAAUCCGAAGGCGCUCUCGGGUUUGAAUUCGAAUCCUUUCAUAUUCUUUUGGUUCUUGUGUUUGAAGAACUUUGGUUUGAUGAUUACUUUCACUGUGUUGCAGGUUGUACAAGGGGCUUGUUCCUCUUUGGGGACGUCAGGUUCCUUGUAAGUUUGAAAGGUUUCCCUCAUCUCAUUUGGAUAUCUUGACGCACUGAAAUCAAAUUUUAACAUUUUGGGAUUUGAUUUCUGCAGAUACUAUGAUGAAAUUUGCGUCGUUCGAGAAUACAAUCGAGCUGAUGUACAAGCAUGUCAUCCCAACACCUAAAGAGCAAUGCAGCAAAUCUUUGCAGCUGGGGGUGAGCUUUGCCAGUGGAUAUAUUGCUGGUGUAUUCUGUGCUGUUGUCUCACACCCAGCUGACAACUUGGUCUCUUUCCUCAACAAUGCCAAGGGAGCAACUGUUGGUGAUGUGAGUUUUUAUACAUAUGCAUGCAGAACAUAAACCCUUUUUUUGUUCUUUCUUUCUUUCUCUAUGCUCAGUUUUUUGUUUUCAUUGCCGAUGUCUUGCAGGCUGUGAAGAAGCUAGGGUUAUUAGGUCUUUUCACUCGUGGUCUUCCUCUUCGAAUAUUCAUGAUUGGAACCCUCACUGGAGGCCAAUGGGUUCUCUAUGACGCUUUCAAAGUUUUGGUUGGGCUGUAAGUCUAUGCUCCCUUCAUUUUCCUUGUGAUUUUCCAUAUCCUAUGCUUGGAAGCUUCAUACUUAUCCAUGUUCUGCAAACUGUUCUAUUUUCCCAGGCCAACUACCGGUGGUCCUGCUCCCACCGCCACCGAGCUUGCCAAGGCUUGAAAUUGAAGCUGAUGGUUCGCAUAUUAUACAGUACAAAUUUUGUUUGUAUACUUUAUCUUCAUGCCAUUUGCUGCCCGGUUUCAUUGAAAGGGCGAUGUUUUGGGGUAAAGUUCCCCAUGGAGGAAUAUGUAACAUAAAAAUAAAAAAUUCCAACUGCUCUGCUUCUACCUUGAAUUAUGUUAAUGGAGAUAUUCAGUAACAAUUUUACAGUACAAUAAAAUUAUAAAAACAUCCUGUUAUUAUAUCAGAAAGAGCCUUUCCAAAGGCUUUGCACUUGUAGGCAACCACGUUCUAGGCUAAGGUGUGGGCCAAAAAGGGGAAGAAAAAAAAAAUUCCCAUGAUUUACUUUUAUAAAAAUUUUAAAAUUGUUCUCACAAACAAGCAUUCAUGUUUCAAAAUUGUCACGAUUUAGACUAAGCGGAUAUAUGGUAUCAAACACAACUCUUGCAAAAAUAUGCCGAACUUCCGGCAGGUUUCCCACAGCCAAUGACUCAUAAUCAAUCUUGCUGCCUUGCUUUGGCACAAAUCCCCUCUCUGCACCAGACGUUACGCAACUAAAAACCCUGCUGACCCUCAGAGAUAACCCCCAUGGGAUAAAUACCUGGAAGUUGAGAUCAAAC